AUUGAACGCUGGCGGAAUGCUUUACACAUGCAAGUCGAACGGUAGAGGGGGCAACCCCUCGAGAGUGGCGAACGGGUGAGUAAUAUAUCGGAACGUGCCCAGUCGUGGGGGAUAACGUAGCGAAAGUUACGCUAAUACCGCAUACGAUCUAAGGAUGAAAGCGGGGGAUCGCAAGACCUCGCGCGAUUGGAGCGGCCGAUAUAAGAUUAGGUAGUUGGUGGGGUAAAGGCUCACCAAGCCAACGAUCUGUAGCUGGUCUGAGAGGACGACCAGCCACACUGAAACUGAGACACGGUCCAGACUCCGACGGGAGGCAGCAGUGGGGAAUUUUGGACAAUGGACGCAAGUCUGAUCCAGCCAUUCCGCGUGCAGGAUGAAGGCCCUCGGGUUGUAAACUGCUUUUGUACGGAACGAAAAGGUCUCUCUUAAUACGGGGGACUCAUGACGGUACCGUAAGAAUAAGCACCGGCUAACUACGUGCCAGCAGCCGCCGUAA
rnacentral:rRNA from 1 species